ACAGUCACGGCUGAUGUGGGGCUGUGCCUGAGUACUGCCUGCCGGCGGGCGGACACGGCUUUCCGUGGGGGGACACCGCCGUGGCUCCAUGCCCGUGGGGCACAGCCUCCUGGACUCCAGCCUGCCCUCCUCCCGCCUUGAGCGAUACCUGGCGCUCCCCGCCGCGCCCGAGCGCGCUCGCCCCGCGGGACCUCGCUGCCCGCCCCGGCCCGGGGCGUGUGGGAUCCGCCGCGCUCCGCCCCACCAGGUUAUACAGCCCGGUCCUACCGCCCACCCGCCCGCGUUCGCCUUCUCCCUCGCUGCCGUCUCGCCUCACAGCCGUGGGGCCGGGGCCGCCUCCCCGCUGCCGUGCGAUGGUGCCGGCGCCCCAGAGUGCCGUGCUCGCCGCCCUCUUCGCCGCCGGGCUGGCCGCUUUGGGCAGCUCGAGAGCUCGUGGGCAGCUGGUAGCUGUGAGCCAGCCUGGGGUGUGUCGCUAUGGUUCUAGGUUGGAUUGCUGUUAUGGCUGGAAAAAGAACAACAAGGGCCACUGCGAAGCUAUCUGUGGACAUGGCUGCAAGUAUGGAGAGUGCACGGGACCAAACAAAUGCAAAUGUUUCCCUGGAUUUGCUGGGAAAACCUGUAAUCAAGAUCUGAAUGAAUGUGGACUGAAACCACGUCCCUGUGAGCACAGAUGUAUGAACACACAUGGCAGCUACAAGUGCUAUUGUCUUAACGGGUACAUGCUUAUGCUGGAUGGCACGUGUGCAAGUUCUACAACAUGUGCCAUGGCAAAUUGCCAAUACGGAUGUGAAGAGGUCAAAGGGGAGGUGCAAUGUCUUUGUCCAUCAGGUGGCCUUCAGUUGGGACCAAACAGGAGAACGUGCAUUGAUAUUGAUGAAUGCUCUAUUGGCAAAGCUGUCUGCUCUCACAACCGCAAAUGCGUCAACACAUUUGGAAGCUACUAUUGCAAGUGCCAGCUUGGUUAUGAACUGAAGUACACCAGUGGCCGUUAUGACUGUGUAGACAUAAAUGAAUGUGUGACAGAUACACACAGGUGUAACCUCCACGCAGAGUGCCUCAACACCAAAGGAUCCUUCAAAUGCAAAUGUAAACAAGGCUACCAAGGAAGUGGAUUCGAUUGUGCUGUUAUCCCUGAAAAGUCAGUGAAGGAAAUUGCAAGAAUCCCUGGAACAGCUAUAGACACAAUUAAGAAACUUCUUGCACAUAAAAACAGUGUGAAAAAGCAUGAAGCACUCAAGAAUGUGAUCCCAGAAGCAGCCGUGACACCAGCUUCUAAGACACACUUGCAGCUAUUGGACUAUGAAGGUGGUAUUGAUCUUGGUGAGAGCUACACUGAGGAAGAGAAAGAAACUGAAGCAACUGCAGAAGUGGAGGCAGAUGAGAUAGAUGAAGAGGAGAAGGAAGAUUUUGAGAAUCAAAUUGAACAUGAGCAGACUCUUAGAGGAGAUGUCUUUUUUUCUAAGGUGAAAGAAGCAGCUGCCUUUGGCCCUCUCCUGGUGCAGAGGAAAGUUCCAGUGUCAAGACCAGAGCAAGAAGUUGAUUGCAGCUUCAGUCGAGGGGUCUGUGACUGGAAACAAGAUGCUGAUGAUGACUUUGACUGGAAUCUUGCUGACCGAGAUAAAGGAGAUGGGUACUACAUGGCGGUUCCAGCCUUUGUGGGGCACAAGAAGGAUAUGGGGCGUCUAAAACUUCUCCUCACCGACCUCAAACCAAAGAGCAGCUACUGCCUGAUGUUCAGUUAUCGGCUUGCUGGCGAGAGAGUGGGGAAACUCCGAGUGUUCCUGACAAACAAAAAAAAUGCUCCUAUCUGGGAGCAGAAUCAUGGGAAAGAUGAAAGGUGGAGAACUGGUAAAAUAGAAAUAUUUCAGGGGGCCGAAACAACCAACAGUGUCACUUUUGAAUCAGAACGUGGAAAGGGCAAAACUGGAGAAAUUGGAGUGGACAACGUAACACUAAUUUCUGGUCUAUGCCCAGAAGAUACCAAAUAAUGGAUAUUUGUGUGUAUUGGAUUUAAACCUGUUUUUAAUAUUUGCCUUAUUACUAGUGUAUUUUUGUAUCAUUUUCUUUGUUAAAAAACCCCAAACUAUAAAAACUGUGCUUUGAAUGUAAUGCAGCAAUGCAAACAGAAAAGCUGACAUGUGCAGGAUGCAGAGUACAUUUUUUUUUUAAAUGAAAAUGCUUAAAAAAGGAUUUUUAAUACAUGCUUUGAGUGUAGCACUACUCUAUUUUGUAAUUCAAGGACAGGGUUUUUAAAGUAUUAUUUGUCUAGCUUUUUUACAAAUCCUACAUGCUUUUAUUCCUUAAAGAUUUUUUUCAAGGCUACUCUUACUAUUCAUUUCUUCUACUCCACAAGAACAUAAAGCAGUAUUUAAGAGGAUGUUACUACUUCUGAUGACAUCAUUCUAACUUCCUGCUUAGCGUGUAGAUACUCAAUCUACCCAACAAAUAAGAGGGAGGAGCUUUUUUUCCAUCUUGAUGGAGCCACGCAAAUUGACAAAGACUCUGGGAGUUUCAAAGAGAGGGCAAAGUUUCCUCAGUUGUGUAUUGGAUGCUGACUGUGAUCUCAGGAUGCCUGAAGAACUUCAUCACAAUGAGGCAGAAAAAUGAAACAAAUAUUUUUCUGGACUCACUCCAACUCUCUGAAGUUGCACUAUGCUUACUGAAGAUCAAGAAGAUGAAAGAUAA